rnacentral:lncRNA from 1 species
GUCUUCACACCAGCAAUUUUAAUUAGCAUUGUUGCUGUGCUGUAUUAUCAAACUGCUUGAGUAGUCAGAUAGUCUAUUAGUGGCAGCUGUUCUUCAUGUUUAAUCUUUUCCCUCUUCUGCUUCUUUCAUCACUGUCAACUUUCCAGCUUGCAGACUAGAGCAUAUGUAGCCAUCUUUAUUUACUUUUGUUCCGUGCUAGCAUUUGCCUUCCACUAAAUGAGGUUGUCCUUUAUGAGACAGCUGGUAAUUUAUUUCUACAGUCAAGGCUCAUAUACUGCAUUUCAGAACUUGGGAUAUGUUAGUAAGGCUUCAAAAAUGAAAAUAUCAUCUGAAUGAACAUUGUACUGAUGGUGAGCUACAGACAACACUCCCCCACCCCCGCUAAAAAAAAGCCAAUAUCUGAAUGUCUAGUACUUGUGUUUGUCUGUCCCAUUAAUAGUAGACUGUGAGAAUGGCUAUAAAUAGAUAUAUAUGUGUGUGUCUUCAUAUUAAUCUCUUUCUCCAAAGCAGAAUCAUUCC